rnacentral:rRNA from 1 species
AACGAACGCUGGCGGCAGGCUUAACACAUGCAAGUCGAGCGCCCCGCAAGGGGAGCGGCAGACGGGUGAGUAACGCGUGGGAAUCUACCCAUCUCUACGGAAUAACGCAUGGAAACGUGUGCUAAUACCGUAAACGUCCUUCGGGAGAAAGAUUUAUCGGAGAUGGAUGAGCCCGCGUUGGAUUAGCUAGUUGGUGGGGUAAAGGCCUACCAAGGCGACGAUCCAUAGCUGGUCUGAGAGGAUGAUCAGCCACACUGGGACUGAGACACGGCCCAGACUCCUACGGGAGGCAGCAGUGGGGAAUAUUGGACAAUGGGCGCAAGCCUGAUCCAGCCAUGCCGCUUGAGUGAUGAAGGCCCUAGGGUUGUAAAGCUCUUUCACCGGUGAAGAUAAUGACGGUAACCGGAGAAGAAGCCCCGGCUAACUUCGUGCCAGCAGCCGCCGUAAAAC